GAUGAACGCUGGCUACAGGCUUAACACAUGCAAGUCGAGGGGAAACGACGGGGAAGCUUGCUUCCCCGGGCGUCGACCGGCGCACGGGUGAGUAACGCGUAUCCAACCUGCCUCUGACUGAGGGAUAACCCGUCGAAAGUCGGCCUAAUACCUCAUGGUAUCGUCUGCGGGCAUCCAACGACGAUUAAAGAUUUCAUCGGUCAGGGAUGGGGAUGCGUCUGAUUAGCUUGUUGGCGGGGUAACGGCCCACCAAGGCUACGAUCAGUAGGGGUUCUGAGAGGAAGGUCCCCCACAUUGGAACUGAGACACGGUCCAAACUCCUACGGGAGGCAGCAGUGAGGAAUAUUGGUCAAGGGGCGAGAGCCUGAACCAGCCAAGUAGCGUGCAGGAAGACGGCCCUAUGGGUUGUAAACUGCUUUUAUGCGGGGAUAAAGUGAGGGACGGGUCCCUCAUUGCAGGUACCGCAUGAAUAAGGACCGGCUAAUUCCGUG
rnacentral:rRNA from 1 species